rnacentral:rRNA from 1 species
UACAGGGGGCGCGAGCGUUGCUCGGAAUCACUGGGCGUAAAGCGAACGCAGGCGGACCGUUAAGUCGCAUGUGAAAGCCCGGGGCUCAACCCCGGAAGUGCAUGCGAAACUGGCGGUCUUGAGUACGGGAGAGGUGGGUGGAAUUCCUGGUGUAGAGGUGAAAUUCGUAGAUAUCAGGAGGAACACCGGUGGCGAAGGCAGCCCCCCUGGGAUAACACUGACGCUCAUGCACGAAAGCGUGGGGAGCAAACAGG